rnacentral:lncRNA from 1 species
AACACACGGGGAAAGAGGAAGGUUAAACCACAGGGAAGGAGGUGGAGGGCGGAGAGCCGGUGCAGCAGGAAAACACCUUCCACAGCAGACGAGAAAACAGACCCGGGUCACGGCAACAACAAAAGAAAAGUCGUAAGAAGCAGCCCGCGGGAGGAGGGUGGCUGCUACCGCUUCCCCGACGCCGCGGCGCGCGAGCCCCCGGGGCCUCCCGGCAACUGCACCAGCCCGGGAGGGGCCCCUCCCCCGCCGGCCCCCUCCCCCCCGGGCGCCACUGCAGCUGCACCGGUCCCCGGAGCCGCGGCCGUCCCGGGCGCCGCUGCAGCUGCGGCGGCUCCCAAGCCCCCCUCCCCCAGCCCGCCGCCCUCCGCACCCGGGAGGCGCCGCCGCAGCUGCACGGGCCGGGAGCCCGCCCCGCGCCGCAGCUGCACCGGCCGCGGGGAGGGGGGCGGGGGGCGCGGCGCGGAGCCGGCGAGCCCGCACCCCGCCCGACCCCGCAGCUGCGGCGGCCCCGUCCCCGCGCCCGGCCUCCCGCAGCUGCGCCGCCCCCCGCCGCCCCAACCGCUCCGAGCACACAAACUAAACUCCACUCGCGGGGGCGCCCCCGGCCCGGCCCGGCCCGUCCUCCGCCCGCCCCGGCCCGGCCCGGGCCGCACAGCUGGCGCCCCCCGCCCGCCAGGGGGGCCGGGCGCGGAGGGGGCGCCGGGUCAGGGGCCGGGGCGGGCGCCGGCACUCACACGGAGCGGCCCUAAGUCACCGCGUCCCCGCCGCCGCCGCCGCCGCCGUCGCCGCCGCCGCCGCGUCCUCCGCCUCCUCCUCCUCUUCCUCCCGGCCGCCGCCGCCGCCGCCGCCGCCGCCGCCGGACUUGGUGGGCUUCCUCCUCCUCUGGCCCCCCUCCCUCCCGGCCCCCCCGCCCCCCAAUCCCGGCUCCGUCGCCCGCUCCCCCUGCCCCCUCCCUCCCUCCCACCCACCCCCGCUGGCAGCCGGAGGAGCGCGGCGGAGCGAAGAGGGCCCCACUCUCAACGGCUCCCCAUGGCAGCAGCCCAGCGGCGGCCGCAGCCUGCCAGACACAGCGAGGGAGCGAGCGAGGGAGCGAGCGCGGAGCCGCCGGCCGGGAGGGGGGGCGGGGAGGGGGGGCGGGCGGGGGAGGGGGAGGGGAGGGGGCGGGAGGACGCACCACGCACGCACGCGGCGGCGCCGGCCAGAUGUUCCCCCCCGCCCGGCCUCGGCCCGCCCCUCUCCUCCCCCUGCCUCCCUCCCUCCCGGCGUUGGGCCCCUGCGAUUGACCGUAAGCGGCUGGGCCGGCGCUCCCCGCCCGCCCCCAGCGCGCAGCCUCCUCCAAUGGGAGGGCGGCCUCGCGGGAGGGCGGGGGGAGUGGCGGGCGACCGUCGGACUGACAGGAGGGCGCAGCCAAUGGGCGAGGCGGGCCGGAGCUGCCGCUCGCGCGAGCCAAUCGCGGGCAGGAGCUGUUGCGGUGGGCGGGGCCCGGGCGGGCGGGGGGCCGGUAGCGAGGCGGCGCGGGGCGGAGUCCUCGGGCGCAGCGGCGGCGGCGGCAGCGGCGCCCCUCUGGGUGACUUGGCCGUGAGAAAGUGA